CGUGUGGGUAACCUGCCUUUUACUGGGGAAUAAUCACUGGAAACGGUGACUAAUACCGCAUAAUAUUCUUAGGAGGCAUCUUCUGAGAAGGAAAGGAGAAAUUCGGUAAAAGAUGGGCCCGCAUCUGAUUAGCUAGUUGGUGAGAUAACAGCCCACCAAGGCGACGAUCAGUAGCCGACCUGAUAGGGUGACCGGCCACAUCGGGACUGAGACACGGCCCAAACUCCUACGGGAGGCAGCAGUGGGGAAUAUUGCACAAUGGGGGAAACCCUGAUGCAGCAACGCCGCGUGAAGGAAGACGGUUUUCGGAUUGUAAACUUCUAUCAAUAGGGAAGAAAGAAAUGACGGUACCUAAAUAAGAAGCCCCGGCUAACUACGUGCCAGCAGCCGCGGUAAUACGUAGGGGGCAAGCGUUAUCCGGAAU
rnacentral:rRNA from 1 species